GAUGAAGAACGUAGUGAAAUGCGAUAAGUAAUGUGAAUUGCAGAAUUCAGUGAAUCAUCGAAUCUUUGAACGCAUCUUGCGCUCCUUGGUAUUCUGAGGAGCAUGCCUGUUUGAGUGUCAUUAAAUUCUCAACCGCACUGACUUUGAAUUGGUGUGGCUUGGAUUUGGGGGGAAAAUUGUUGUGGGCUUUUUUGCAUAGUCUGCUCCCCUGAAAUUGAUUAGCGGUACCUUUGUGGAACUGUCUACAGGUGUGAUAAUUAUCUACAUCCUAGACAUCUGCUGGAAUGCUGCUUUCUAAACCUUACUUGUAUUGACAAUCUUGACCUCAAAUCAGGUAGGACUACCCGCUGAACUUAAGCAUAUCAAUAAGCGGAGGA
rnacentral:misc_RNA from 1 species